AAAAAGAUAAGCUAAUAAAGCUAGUGGGUUCAUACCCCACCUAUAUAGGACCUACCCUUUUCUUUUUA
rnacentral:tRNA from 1 species